UACGGAGGGUGCAAGCGUUAUCCGGAUUCACUGGGUUUAAAGGGUGCGUAGGUGGGCAGGUAAGUCAGUGGUGAAAUCUCCGGGCUUAACCCGGAAACUGCCGUUGAUACUAUUUGUCUUGAAUAUAGUGGAGGUGAGCGGAAUAUGUCAUGUAGCGGUGAAAUGCUUAGAUAUGACAUAGAACAUCGAUUGCGAAGGCAGCUCGCUACACUAUUAUUGACACUGAGGCACGAAAGCGUGGAGAUCAAACAGG
rnacentral:rRNA from 1 species